rnacentral:tmRNA from 1 species
CCCCUUUUCAGACCGGCUGCGCCCGCCUAUAUUGGGCCUGUCUCCGAAAGGGGACUAUGGCGAUAAACGCGCACGUAAUAAGCGGAUCGGACCCGGGGGCGGUACCCGGCGGCUCCACCAGAAACCCGAUCGUUGGCGGGCACAAGGGGCCGAAACAGGAUCGACGGACGUGUAAAGGUGUCGCUUUCGCCCGGUGAGCUACCACCGUUAUCGGUGCAAGACGCACAAUUGCCAACGACAAUCGUGCUCCGGUGGCGAUGGCCGCUUGAUGCGGUCGGAGACACCGACAUCUAAGCCCUGAGCCGUAGCAGGUUCAGGCGGGGUUCGCAGGCACCUGGCAACAGAAGCCUGCAUC